AUUGAACGCUGGCGGCAGGCCUAACACAUGCAAGUCGCACGAGUGGCGGACGGGUGAGUAAUGUCUGGGAAACUGCCUGAUGGAGGGGGAUACCUACUGGAAACGGUAGCUAAUACCGCAUACCAUCGGAUGUUCCCAGAUGGGAUUAGCUAGUAGGUGGGGUAACGGCUCACCUAGGCGACGAUCCCUAGCUGGUCUGAGAGGAUGACCAGACAAACUGGAACUGAGACACGGUCCAGACUCCUACGGGAGGCAGCAGUGGUGAAUAUUGCACAAUGGGCGCAAGCCUGAUGCAGCCAUGCCGCGUGUAUGAAGAAGGCAUUCGGGGUGUAAAGUACUUUCAGCGAGGAGGCGUUACUCGCAGAAGAAGCACCGGCUAACUCCGUGCCAGCAGCCGCGGUAAUUC
rnacentral:rRNA from 1 species